rnacentral:tRNA from 1 species
GGCUUCGUGGUGUAGUGGUCAGCACACUCGGCGCAUAAUCGAUAGAACCGAGGUUCGAGCCCCGGCGAGGGCA